rnacentral:rRNA from 1 species
CCUACGGGAUGCAGCAGUGGGGAAUAUUGCACAAUGGGCGCAAGCCUGAUGCAGCCUUGCCGCGUGUAUGAAGAAGGCCUUCGGGUUGUAAAGUACUUUCAGCGGGGAGGAAGGCGAUAAGGUUAAUAACCUUGUCGAUUGACGUUACCGGCAGAAGAAGCACCGGCUAACUCCGUGCCAGCAGCCGCGGUAAUACGGAGGGUGCAAGCGUUAAUCGGAAUUACUGGGCGUAAAGCGCACGCAGGCGGUCUGACAAGUCGGAUGUGAAAUCCCCGGGCUCAACCUGGGAACUGCAUUCGAAACUGGCAGGCUAGAGUCUUGUAGAGGGGGGUAGAAUUCCAGGUGUAGCGGUGAAAUGCGUAGAGAUCUGGAGGAAUACCGGUGGCGAAGGCGGCCCCCUGGACGAAGACUGACGCUCAGGUGCGAAAGCGUGGGGAGCAAACAGGAUUAGAUACCCCCGUAGUC